GGGGGAUAACACUUAGAAAUAGGUGCUAAUACCGCAUAAGCGCACGGUUCCGCAUGGAACAGUGUGAAAAACUCCGGUGGUAUACGAUGGAUCCGCGUCUGAUUAGCCAGUUGGCGGGGUAACGGCCCACCAAAGCGACGAUCAGUAGCCGGCCUGAGAGGGUGAACGGCCACGUUGGGACUGAGACACGGCCCAAACUCCUACGGGAGGCAGCAGUGGGGAAUAUUGCACAAUGGGGGAAACCCUGAUGCAGCGACGCCGCGUGAGUGAAGAAGUAUUUCGGUACGUAAAGCUCUAUCAGCAGGGAAGAAAAAAAGUCCUUUGGACUUUGGACGGUACCUGACCAAGAAGCCCCGGCUAACUACGUGCCAGCAGCCGCGGUAAUACGUAGGGGGCAAGCGUUAUCCGGAUUUACUGGGUGUAAAGGGAGCGUAGACGGCAGCGCAAGUCUGGAGUGAAAUGCCGGGGCCCAACCCCGGAACUGCUUUGGAAACUGUGCAGCUGGAGUGCAGGAGAGGUAAGCGGAAUUCCUAGUGUAGCGGUGAAAUGCGUAGAUAUUAGGAGGAACACCAGUGGCGAAGGCGGCUUACUGGACUGUAACUGACGUUGAGGCUCGAAAGCGUGGGGAGCAAACAGGAUUAGAUACCCUGGUAGUCCACGCCGUAAACGAUGAUUACUAGGUGUCGGGGGGCCAAGGCCCUUCGGUGCCGCCGCAAACG
rnacentral:rRNA from 1 species